rnacentral:RNase_P_RNA from 1 species
GGGCUGGAGAGAAUCGCACAAAUUCCUGGUGAUUUGUGAGGAAAGUCCGCGCUCGCACAGGCUGCGAUGCCUGUAGUGAUCAUGCCUAGCGAAACCGUAAGCUAGGGCAACUAACAAUCCUGUUGGUUGACGGCGGGGAAAGUACCUAAGUCCUUUUUCGGAUAUGGUUCUAGUACUCUGAAAGUGCCACAGUGACGAAGCUUCAUUGGAAACAUUGAAGGUGGAACGAGGUAAACCCCAUGAGCGAGAAACCCAAACAAUGGUAGGGGAAGUGUCUGAAAGGAAUUGAACCGACAGACACCACAGUAAUCUGUGAGAUAGAUGAUUCUCCAUUUAUGUGCGAGGAAAUUCCGCUUGUAGCACGAAAUGAACAGAACGCGGCUUACGAAG